ACACUUCAAAGGCUCUCCUGACAAAGGUUUACCGACUCGGAACUCCCCUCCUCUCCCCUUUAGUAUUUGGUACAUCUCGAUCUCUCUCUUACUCUCUCAAUUUUUCUGAAAUCGCUUGCUUUUCAUCUAUCCCGGCG
rnacentral:ribozyme from 1 species